rnacentral:rRNA from 1 species
GACGUAGGGUGCGAGCGUUGUCCGGAUUUAUUGGGCGUAAAGAGCUCGUAGGCGGCUUGUUGCGUCGGCAUGUCGAAAACCCGCCAGCUCAACUGUGGGCUUGCAGCCGAUACGGGCAGGCUUGAGUUCGGGUAGGGGAGACUGGAAUUCCUGGUGUAGCGGUAGAAAUGCGCAGAUAUCAGGAGGAACACCGGUGGCGAAGGCCGGUUCUCUGGGCAUGUCCUGACGCUGAGGAGCGAAAGUGUGGGGAGCGAACAGG